rnacentral:snoRNA from 1 species
CUGUAAAAAAAAAAGAUAACUAAGGCACUAAAAAAAAAAAAAAAAGCAGCUUCCCUGGUAGUGCAUGCAGCCUGUUGCUUGUAUGGGUUGCCCUUAAGGACCUUCGAGACAGCC